rnacentral:snRNA from 1 species
AUACCCGCUGUGCAGCACAUAUACUAAAAUUGGAACGAUACAGAGAAGAUUAGCAUGGCCCCUGCAGCUACAAUACAUAGAAAGCAAAAAUAAUGAUAGAUCUGU